UACGAAGGGGGCUAGCGUUGCUCGGAAUCACUGGGCGUAAAGGGUGCGUAGGCGGGUUUUUAAGUCAGGGGUGAAAUCCUGGAGCUCAACUCCAGAACUGCCUUUGAUACUGGCGAUCUCGAGUCCGGGAGAGGUGAGUGGAACUGCGAGUGUAGAGGUGAAAUUCGUAGAUAUUCGCAAGAACACCAGUGGCGAAGGCGGCUCGCUGGCCCGGUACUGACGCUGAGGUGCGAAAGCGUGGGGAGCAAACAGG
rnacentral:rRNA from 1 species